GACGAACGCUGGCGGCGUGCUUAACACAUGCAAGUCGAACGGAAAGGCCCUGCUUUUGUGGGGUGCUCGAGUGGCGAACGGGUGAGUAACACGUGAGUAACCUGCCCUUGACUUUGGGAUAACUUCAGGAAACUGGGGCUAAUACCGGAUAGGAGCUCCUGCUGCAUGGUGGGGGUUGGAAAGUUUCGGCCGUUGGGGAUGGACUCGCGGCUUAUCAGCUUGUUGGUGGGGUAGUGGCUUACCAAGGUUUUGACGGGUAGCCGGCCUGAGAGGGUGACCGGCCACCUUGGGACUGAGGUACGGACCAGACUCGUACGGGCGGCAGCAGUGGGGAAUAUUGCACAAUGGGCGGACGCCUGAUGCAGCAACGCCCCGUGCGGGAUGACCGCCUUCGGGUUGUAAACCGCUUUCGCCUGUAACGAAGCGUGAGUGACGGUAAUGGGUAAAGAAGCACCGGCUAACUACGUG
rnacentral:rRNA from 1 species